rnacentral:rRNA from 1 species
UGCCGGCGACCGGCGGACGGGUGCGUAACGCGUAUGUAACCUACCUUUGACAGGGGAAUAACAUCGAGAAAUUGGUACUAAUACCCCAUAACAUCACCGGAGGCAUCUUCGGUGGUUGAAAACUCAGGUGGUCAGAGAUGGACAUGCGUUGUAUUAGCUAGUUGGUGAGGUAACGGCUCACCAAGGCGACGAUACAUAGGGGGACUGAGAGGUCAACCCCCCACAUUGGUACUGAGACACGGACCAAACUCCUACGGAAGGCAGCAG